UAGCACAAAGUAUUAAAGGUAACGCCUGCCCAGUGAUACUUAAACGGCCGCGGGAUCCUCACCGUGCAAAGGUAGCAUAAUCACUUGUCACCUAAAUAGUGACUGGUAUGAACGGCCUUAUGAAGAUUUUACUGUCUCUUGAAACCAGCCCAUGAAACUAUUCUCUCAGUACAAAAACUGAAAUAUUGACAUAAGACGAAAAGACCCUGUGGAACUUAAAGCACCCCCCAUACAUUAUGACUACCUGCUUUUAGUUGGGGCAACUUUGGAAUUAAACAAAACUUCCAACAAUAACAAUAGACCCACAAGUCCACACACCAUUAUUCGACCCAGUAUAACUGAACAAAGAACCAAGCUACCCCAGGGAUAACAGCGCCAUCCCCUCUUAGAGCCCAAAUCGAAGAGGGGGUUUACGACCUCGAUGUUGGAUCAGGGCCCCCAAACAGUGCAACAGCUGUUAAAGGUUUGUUUGUUCAACAACUAACGCCCUACGCGAUCUGAGUUAAGACCGGAGCAAUCC
rnacentral:rRNA from 1 species